GAGUUUGAUUAUGGCUCAGAUUGAACGCUGGCGGUAUGCUUAACACAUGCAAGUCGAACGGAAACGAAACUAGCUUGCUAGUUGGCGUCGAGUGGCGGACGGGUGAGUAACGCGUAGGAAUCUACCUAGUAGUGGGGGAUAGCCCGAAGAAAUUCGGAUUAAUACCGCAUAAUCUAUUCGUAGUAAAGUGGGGGACUUUCGAGCCUCACGCUAUUAGAUGAGCCUGCGUAAGAUUAGCUUGUUGGUAGGGUAAAAGCCUACCAAGGCUACGAUCUUUAGCUGGUCUGAGAGGAUGAUCAGCCACAUCGGGACUGAGACACGGCCCGAACUCCUACGGGAGGCAGCAGUGGGGAAUAUUGGACAAUGGGGGCAACCCUGAUCCAGCAAUACCGCGUGUGUGAAGAAGGCCUGAGGGUUGUAAAGCACUUUCAAUUGUGAAGAAAAGUUAAUAG
rnacentral:rRNA from 1 species